rnacentral:rRNA from 16 species
CUGGUAACUGAAGCCCUGGUGAACGGCGGCCGUAACAAUAACGGUCCUAAGGUAGCGAAAUUCCUUGUCGGGUAAGUUCCGACCUGCACGAAUGACAUAAUGAUGGCAGCGCUGUCUCCAGCAGAGACUCAGUGAAAUCGAAAUCGCAGUGAAGAUGCUGUGUACCCGCGGCUAGACGGAAAGACCCCGUGAACCUUUACUACAGCUUUACAUUGAACUUUGACCUGACUUGUGCAGGAUAGGUGGGAGGCUUUGAAGCCGAGACGCUAGUCUUGGUGGAGCCAUCCUUGAAAUACCACCCUGGUCAUGUCGGGGUUCUAACUCAGGUAUAACAAUACCGAGGACAAUGUAUGGUGGGUAGUUUGACUGGGGCGGUCUCCUCCUAAAGAGUAACGGAGGAGUACGAAGGUGCGCUCAGAACGGUCGGAAAUCGUUCAUAGAGUAUAAAGGCAAAAGCGCGCUUAACUGCGAGACCCACAAGUCGAGCAGGUACGAAAGUAGGUCUUAGUGAUCCGGUGGUUCUGUAUGGAAGGGCCAUCGCUCAACGGAUAAAAGGUACUCUGGGGAUAACAGGCUGAUACCGCCCAAGAGUUCAUAUCGACGGCGGUGUUUGGCACCUCGAUGUCGGCUCAUCUCAUCCUGGGGCUGUAGCCGGUCCCAAGGGUAUGGCUGUUCGCCAUUUAAAGAGGUACGUGAGCUGGGUUUAAAACGUCGUGAGACAGUUUGGUCCCUAUCUUCCGUGGGCGCUGCAGAUUUGAGGAAGCCUGCUCCUAGUACGAGAGGACCGGAGUGGACGAACCUCUGGUGUACCGGUUGUCACGCCAGUGGCAUUGCCGGGUAGCUAAGUUCGGAAGAGAUAACCGCUGAAAGCAUCUAAGCGGGAAACUCGUUUCAAGAUUAGAUCUGCCGGGGCCUUGAGCCCCCUGAAGAGUCGUUCAAGACCAGGACGUUGAUAGGCAGGGUGUGGAAGCGCAGUAAUGCGUUAAGCUAACCUGUACUAAUUGCUCGUGAGGCUUGA